AACCCACGAACCUCAAGAUCACGGCCUGAGCCGAAAUCGGACACUCAACUGAUGGAGCCACCCAGGUACCCCAAGUAGCAUUCUUUUUGAAGACAUCCUUGAAAACCAUCUCUUUCCUUUGCCUUGAUUCUGCUUAUAUGAAAAAAAACUUUUGAAUGGGGAAUAUUUGUACAUGUAACCAAUUUUAAAGGUAAUGAAGUUAAAAGGUACAAAAUACUAUACAAUGAAACAAAUCUCUUAUCUUUAUUCCCUGAAGAUCCAGUUUCCUCCAACAGAAGCAACCACCAUUACUUGUUCCUCUCGCACCCUUCCGGAGAGAAUACAAGGAUAUCCAAGCAUAUGAGAAGACUGGGACCCAGACAGCUAAAGGGACUUGCCCAAGGUGACACAUCUCCACAGUGUCAAAGUCUCCAGGCCUUUCACCCCAGAGUGACUUGGUAACAGCCUUUUCCACCCCCAAGCCCUCAAGUGUUCGUGAGUUCUCAAAGAAUUUGGAAAAUCAAUGUGCUGUUAUUCUAAUUUUGGUCUAUCUGCAUAUGUGACUUUGUGCUUUGGUGCUAAGAAUAGAAGACAUCAAAAUAGCGCUCUCAGCAACGCUGAGUGUACAGAAAAUUGAAGCGGAAAUGGAAAGGGUGCCCUCAGAGAGGAUGUCACAUCACCAGACUUUGGUUUUGAAGCCACCAGAAAGCAGAGAGAAGCUGUUUUUUUGAAGAGAAUUUCUUCAGCUACUGAAGGUUGGCUGAGUGUGCAUUAAGGCCUGAGCAGCAAUGCCACAUGCCUGGCAGAUGAUGGGCUCUGACCCAAAGAUAUGAGGUUACAGCUCUGGGGCAGACGAGCAGCCUGAGCUCUUUUCUCUGCCUGAUGGCCCCAGUGCCCGACUCUCUGAGGAAACGAACAGAUGGUCACUGCAAGAGUCACUGAAUCUCCACAUUCAUUCAUUUUUUGGCGACCUUGGCCAGCCUCGGAACAGUCAGUCAAAUCUGCAUAAGGAAGCCGGCGGUAAUGGGGCUCGUGGGCACAGGUACUCAUCUGACACCUAAUUAAGCCAUCUUGGUAUAUCAUCUCUACAAUGCCUGUUAUUAUUUUAAGAAACAACAUAAAGAGAAUGAUAAUUAAAAGUAACACCCCGGGUGGGAAUUUUGUCUCCAUUCCAGUGGUUGGCAAGUAAAGCACCCUGGGUUUUUUUUUUGUUUUGUUUUGUUUUUUUCGGUUUUUUUUUGAGGUAACAUUUCUAUAAAUUUUCAUAGAGCACACAACCUCAAAGCUUGUCUCUGCUGCAGUUUCCCCCGAUUUCUCUGCCAAUGCUUUGGGUUUGUGGCUUCGUUCCACUGCUGUUUCCUUUCUUUUUUUCUUCUCCUUUUCACUGAGCGUUUUCUGAUUUUACUUGAACUUGCAAUGGGGGAGGGGAGGGUGUAUUGCUUUCUGGAUAUUACAUGUCAUCUGAAGCAUAAAAUGCUAAACCCAGUUGCAUGUUGUUUUCAGGUGAGAAGGCAAUUUUACACUUCACGGUUGGGCCCACACGAGGCAUUUUCAUGCAGGGAAAUUUUCCAUCCUAGACUCACAUCAAGAUGGCGCCCAGGGAUUUGCUACCAGUGGAAAGUUUGCCCACUGUCUGUCUGCAGCCUUCCCGAAUGGGCGUUCUUGAUAGACCUGUUCUCCAGAAUGCCGCUAUCUACCCCUGGUCUUCAGGUUCCCCUGACAUAGCGUCCAUCAGGUCCCUGUGUCCUUUGCUACCUGCCUGGGUCCUGUGUCUACGACUUGAGCCACUUUGGUUAGUAACACUCUUACUGACCUGCCAUACACCCUUUCCUCUUGUCCCUUGUACCAGACCAAACCCCACCUUUGGAUCAUCCCACAAUCCACCUUCUCUGCUCCUGACGUGAAUCUGGAGAAAACUCCCAGUAGUACCAACUGAGGCCACCACCGAUUCCUGAUCACAAUCCUCACCUGGCAUCCUUUGACAAACACUUUACUUGCCCUCAAUCGUCUCCUUUGCCCCUAAAAACCCUCUUCCUUGACCCUGUAUCUCCACCUCAUGGAAACACCCCGUCUUCUUCCUUUCACAGAUUUCUGAAAGUGUAUCCAACACCAGCAGCUCCCAUGAGCUCAGUAGGUAGCUUAUACAGAUUCCCAGGCCCCACACUAAAGCAAAUCUCUGAGGUGGGGCCUGAGAUUUGUAUUCAAGAACGUUGUCUUCAUUGGGAACUACUCAUCGGCCUAUACUCCCUGACUUUCCUUCCUCACUUUCAGUGGCUUCUCCAGCUGUCACAGCCUGGCUUCUACCCUCACCACUCUGUGAAACGAGGUCAGCAGGAACAGCCACGACAGCCCGCACACUCCCAGGUCUCCCCAGAGAGCGUACUCUCUGGAGUACUGAUGUUCUUGGUCACUCCAAGACUUCCGGUCACCUCCUCUCUUCCUUUGCCUUCUACCUCUGACCAUCUCCCUCAGUGCCUUUUGUGUAAGCUUUUCUUGCACCUUAAAUACUGGCGGUGUUUUCACAAGUGCAUCUCGCACUCCUUGUUGCUAGAUCCUCAGAGACACUAAGAAACUUCUCGAAGCUCAAGGUGAUCUUGAGAAAGCCUCCUCCUACCGUUGCCUCUUUCACUGUCCUAACUACCUCAGAUUCUUCACUGCCUGUGAGCUUCUCAAGGUCAGAGACUGUUCAAUCAUCUUUCCAUGGUCAGUGAGUGCCUCAGGAAGCAUGUAGCAAUUAGGAGGCGCUCCAUAAAUGUUAGCUGAACUAAAUACAAGUCUGCUCCGAGUACUCGCGUGAAUGAGCCUUGGGCCCAUGGUGCGAAGCUCAAAGUUACCUCUCAGUCCCUUCAGAACGGGGUGACCUUGGAGGUAUGAAUUAGAGCCAGCCCCUGUCCAGACCUGGGGUGGGGAGGGGUGGGUGUUAAAAGCAGUUCUCCAAAGGUGGUAGUCAGAGCUCUAGCAAAUAACAUCUCUUCUGGCAAAUUUACUUCUUGUUAGUCUCAAAUGUUCAUAGGAAUGACAUCAUGCCUGGCCAAGUGCUAAUUUCUAAGCUUUCUUCCUGCCAAAUUUCCACCAUGCUGGCUCAUGCUUGCCAAUCUCAUAGCAGUGAUGUGUUUUCUAGCAGGGAACACAAGUAUUGCUUUGGGAGUUAUUCUGGAGCCUCAUAAAACUGUUCUUGGGGCCCCUUUAUAGGGAAGGAUUCCAUAAUGCACCCAGUUGGAGAGUGUUAUUGCUAUCAGGAGAGGUCCUUACAGUUGCUGUAGUGAACAUCCUUGAAUACUGUCUAGGACGGACCUGUCAUUGAAGAAAGAUCUCUAACUAACACCCCAUAAGUUCCAAAAUCAUGUUUCGGGUUUUUAGUGUCAUUCAAACCCUUUCCUGAAUAACACCAGUCCUAUUUCUUUGAGCACAGGACCCGUACUAUAUUCAUGGCUGUAGGUUCUCCACACAAGCAGGGCGUAUCUGUUUUGUUCAACAUUGCUUCCCUGGGGCUGGCAUAGCACCCGGCAUAUAGCAAGUACUUGGUGUCAGUUGGUGAUGGAGAACGGAAAAAGAAGAAACUUGGGGAGCUUGAGGUGCUUGUCUCCAGAACUGUGGAGCUGAAGGUGACAACCAGGACACCAUGCUCUGGCUUCCCACUUACGGUGAGGCCUCAGGGUUCCUGCCUGCUCCUACCCUCCAUGGACUGAUGGCCAGGCCUGGAGUCUUGACGGCACCAAGGGCUGGUGGAUAUUGAAAGGCAAGUUCAUUCAUCUGGUCAGGCAGGAACUGGAAAGCUGCCCAUCCAACCCUCACCCCUGGCUGCUGUUUCUCCUCCAGACAGAAACUUGGGGAAGUUUCUUUCCUUCUGGGUGUGCCGUCUCCUUCCUCUAGCUAAUCUUCUAGCUUCCUUCCAAAACUGUAUUGGUGAUGAAUUAGCAAAAUAAAAAAAUUUAAAGCCACCCUGAAGAUUACAAAAAGAAAAACAUACUACUGCUAAAUCUCUAAAACAAUGGCUGUCUUUAUAUACAAUGAUACAUAGUAGGAUAACCAUAAACUAUCAUUACCUUAAGAGAGGAGAGAAGACCAGACCCUCUGUGGACCAAGGUGAUGUGAUCAACUCAUACAGGUUUUACACAGAAUUUCAGGGGCCCGUGAAUCCCCUGAAGAUCUCUCAUCAUCUUCCCAGACAUACACGUAUGGACCCUGGUUAUGAAUAUCUAGGCUAGAGAUUCCACGGGGUCUUUGACUCAGUGUUAGAAACUGACAGGACCUCAGAGUUCAAGUGAUGUGACCCUCAUCUGAUGAGAGUUAGCAGAUUAGGUAUGAGGCCUAGAGAGUUUUCCUGGCUGACUCAAAGAGCGCACAGCUGGUGGACAGCAGAAGGGAGACCUUCACUUAGGUUUUCUGAGUCCUGGUCACUCUGCAAUAUUGUGUUAAUAUGCUCUGUGGAAAACAAAUGUCAAGAAGGGAGAAGAAUGGAGAGAGACUGAGUAUAGGGAAAGGAAGGAAUAUCUGUUCCUAGAAUGUACAGACUGGCUAUUACUGGGUUUCAUUUUUGUGUUUGGCAGAGUUUUCCAGCUUCGAGCCAAAGAGACCAAGCCUGAAGUUCCCUUCCAGCCCCCUACUUCAGACCUGUAACUGAAUCCUGAUAGGUCAUCUCAGGCAGACCGGUGAAGGGGAAGAUAAGAAAAAAGAAAAGCAAAGAUGCUGGAGUCUUGCAGCCUAACAACACACGAGGGAAAUUGUUUGCCUGGAAGCCUCCAGGGAUGGCAAAAUGGCAGAAAUUUCCAGUGGGGAAAAUGUGGGGUGGGGGGUGGGGGUGCUAAAUUAUUUGAAUGGGACCCUUUGAAGGCUUCUGCUACCCCUACACCUGCUGAGGCUUUCCACUGAGCUUUGGGAAAAGGCUAGCUUUUCGUAGCAGAGCAGAGAAAGGGGGAGAAUGAAGGAGGCACGUAAUGCA